rnacentral:lncRNA from 1 species
GAUAAUUGUAUUUUUGUUAAUUUUCAUUAUAUUAAAUAUUAAAAACCCAGAAAUCAUAUGAGUAGUCAUCUUCUUGAUCAUCAUCAUCUUCAUCUCCUCUUUCCUUAAACUAGAAAAAAAAAAUCCAGAUAUUUAUGAAUAAAAUUUAGAAUCUCAAAUCUUCUUAAAGAAUCCAGAACAAAAUAUCUAAUUCACCUUCAAUCUAAAUUUCUUUAUAACCAAAUUCCAACUCAAAUUUAUCCCUUUUUUCUCUCCCAUUUCAGCACCAGACACCACCGCUCCCCCAUGUCAUCGGUUGUGUUCUAGACAAAGCAACAUUUUUAGAUCUGAU